rnacentral:lncRNA from 1 species
AAACAAAAAACGUUCAUGAACCAAGGUACCACUAUCUAAAAUGUUUUUGUUUUAUAUGCCUUACAUCAUCAGUUGAUAUUUUAAUUCUUUUCCAUCACCCCAGCUGGUAAACUGAUCCUAAGUUAAGUCCUUUUACUCCAUGCUUUAACUUCUAAUAUCACUACCCCUCCACUCUUUUAUAGCUGCUCUCUUCAGAUUCUUCUCCCUUGCUUCCCAAUGAGUAGGGACUACUCCUCUGUGUUCCCAUGGUACCUGCUGUAUACCUCUUUCAUAGCCAACCCACUGGACAAAGAGUGUUGAUUUUCGUGUCUCCUCCAAGAUUGUAUGAGGCCCUGGAUUUGGGGUGAAUGUUCACAGCUGACAUGCAGAGUUUUGAUGACCUUUCUCAAGAAGAUUCUGUUUGUUUCCUGUUGAAGGAAGAUC